CAUCCGCCGCCCGCUCCCUGUCGGACUCGAUGAUCAUGGACAGCCUCUCCUCCUACCUGGUGCUGCCCAACCGGCUCCUGGUGCCGCUGGUGCCCGACCUGCCCGAGGCCGCUCAGCUGCGCUGCCCCCUCCCCAGGGGCGUGGUGCGGGUGACGCUGGG